UACGAAGGGGGCUAGCGUUGUUCGGAUUUACUGGGCGUAAAGCGUGCGCAGGCGGUGAUGUAAGACAGGUGUGAAACCUCCGGGCUUAACCUGGGAACUGCAUUUGUGACUGCAUCGCUGGAGUGCGGCAGAGGGGGAUGGAAUUCCGCGUGUAGCAGUGAAAUGCGUAGAUAUGCGGAGGAACACCGAUGGCGAAGGCAAUCCCCUGGGCCUGUACUGACGCUCAUGCACGAAAGCGUGGGGAGCAAACAGG
rnacentral:rRNA from 1 species